UGUCAAUCAUCUUCAUUAUCUAAAUACAAACUGUGAACGAGUCCUGCUUGAGCACCCUGUCAGGUGAUUCUAAGCUGAAGCUGACUGUGGAUGUAUGUGCACUUUGGAAUACCAGUUGGAAAGAGAUUCUGUACAGAAUCCUUCACGUCCCCCAAAAAACUAGAGAUUUUGAGCUGUGGUUGAGUUAGAAAUAUGAGACAUGUGCACAAUUUUUCCCCUAUUCUGCAUGGGAAAUGCCUGGAGAAAGCAUGAAACUGGAGCCAGGUCAUGAGACUGCUAUGAGUGACCAUUGCCUUGUUUGUGUUCCAAACAGCUUUGAAGGGUCAACAUCAAACCACAAGGUGAAGAUGGAAAAAAAAACCAAAAAACUGCAUGAGGAGCAACCUCUGUCUGGUUCAGCAGAUCAUUCAUCUCAUCAUUCGUCUCACAAUCUGCUACUAUUUUUAACUCUGCACUCUAGGCACGGCGUAGGCUGUUGUGAAGUUAACCGACAAUGUUAA
rnacentral:lncRNA from 1 species